rnacentral:rRNA from 1 species
AAGCUCGUAGUUGAAUUUCGGGGUUAGUAGGUUGGUCAUGCCUCUGGUAUGUACUGGUCUCACUGAUUCCUCCUUCCUUAUGAACCGUAAUGCCAUUAAUUUGGUGUUGCGGGGAAUUUGGACUGUUACUUUGAAAAAAUUAGAGUGUUUAAAGCAAGCUAACGCUUGAAUACAUUAGCAUGGAAUAAUGAAAUAGGACGUUCGAUCUUAUUUUGUUUGGUUUUCUUAGGAUUGACGUAAUGAUUAAUAGGGAUAGUUGGGU